AUCUCCCUGUCGGCAAGGCGGCGACGCGGAGGGGGACGGGCAUGCGUGCCAUUAGCUGGUUGGCGGGGCGACGGCCCACCAAGGCUACGAUGGCUAGGGGAUCUGAGAGGACGGUCCCCCACACUGGUACUGAGACACGGACCAGACUCCUGCGGGAGGCAGCAGUAAGGGAUAUUGGUCAAUGGGGGGAACCCUGAACCAGCCAUGCCGCGUGAGGGAAUGAGGCCCUACGGGUCGUGAACCUCUUUUAUCUGGGGACAAUACGGGGCACGAGAUGCCCCGUUGAGGGUACCAGAGGAAUAAGCAUCGGCUAACUCCGUGCCAGCAGCCGCGGUAAUACGGAGGAUGCGAGCGUUAUCCGGAUUCAUUGGGUUUAAAGGGUGCGCAGGCGGCUCGUCAAGUCAGCGGUGAAAGCCCGGGGCCCAACCCCGGAAGUGCCGUUGAUACUGUCGGGCUGGAAUGCGGUCGAGGCGGGCGGAACGUGGCGUGUAGCGGUGAAAUGCGUAGAUAUGCCACAGAACGCCGAUAGCGAAGGCAGCUCGCCAGGCCUGCAUUGACGCUCGGGCACGAAAGCGUGGGGAUCGAACAGGAUUAGAUACCCUGGUAGUCCACGCCGUAAACGAUGGGCGCUCGUCGUCGGCGGCAGAAUGUCGGCGGCCAAGCGAAAGCGAUAAGCGCCCCACCUGGGGGAGUACGGUCG
rnacentral:rRNA from 1 species